ncrna:unclassified sequences L31-Firmicutes ribosomal protein leader
CUAUGUCAUAAAUAUGACAUGGCGAAAGGAG